UCCCAACGAGCUUAUCCUGAUG
rnacentral:piRNA from 1 species